AGAGGGGGCCAGCGGGUUUCCGGUUCCGGGAGCAACGAACGGCCGCGGCAGCGACAGCUACCGCUUCAGAGGAAGCGUCUGCGGAGGAGGAAGAAGAGCAGGGCAAGGCGGGAGUCACAGGCGGGACCCUCGCCAUGGGUCCGCGGACCUAGAGCGGCGGAAGCUACCGGCCUGGUGCCGAGCUGGCCGCUGCUCCUUCCCGUGGCUUCCAUGGCUGAGGACUGGCUGGAGUGCCCAGCCUUGGGCCCUGGCUGGAAACGUCGUGAGGUCUUUCGAAAGUCAGGUGCCACCUGUGGACGCUCAGACACUUAUUACCAGAGCCCCACAGGAGACAGGAUCCGAAGCAAAGUUGAGCUGACCCGAUACCUGGGCCCUGCGUGUGACCUCACCCUCUUCGACUUCAAACAAGGCAUUCUGUGUUAUCCAGCCCCCAAGCCCCAGUCCUUACCUGUCCCUAGCAGAAAGCGGAAGAAGCCUUCACGGCCAGCCAAGACUCGGAAACGUCAGGUUGGACCCCAGAAGGGUGAGGUCAGGAAGGAGGCCCCAGGGGAUGAGACCAAGGCUGAUGCUGACACAGCCCCAGCUUCACUGCCUGCUCCUGGGUGCUGUGAGAACUGUGGAAUCAGCUUUUCAGGGGAUGGUACCCGAAGACAGCGGCUCAAGACAUUAUGCAAGGACUGCAGAGCACAGAGGAUUGCUUUCAACCGGGAGCAAAGGAUGUUUAAGCGUGUGGGCUGCGGGGAGUGCGCAGCCUGCCAGGUAACCGAGGACUGCGGGGCCUGCUCCACAUGCCUUCUGCAGUUGCCCCAUGAUGUGGCCUCGGGGCUGUUCUGCAAGUGUGAGCGGAGACGGUGCCUCCGGAUUGUGGAAAGGAGCCGAGGGUGUGGAGUGUGCAGGGGCUGUCAGACCCGAGAGGACUGUGGCCGUUGUCGAGUUUGCCUUCGCCCUCCCCGCCCUGGUCUCAGGCGCCAAUGGAGGUGUGUCCAGCGGCGCUGCUUACGGCACCUUGCCCACCGUCUCCGUCGCCACCAUCAGCGAUGUCAACGACGCCCUCCCCUAGCUGUGGCUCCCCCUGCUGGUAAACGUAGCCGCCGCAGAGGAGGCUGUGACUCCAAGAUGGCUGCCCGGCGGCGCCCCCCACGAACCCAGCCACUGCCUCCAGUUACCCCGUCACAGCCUCCAGCGUCCCCAGAGCUGCAACCCAGAGCCCUGGCCCCCUCGCCACCUGCCGAAUUCAUCUAUUACUGUGUAGACGAGGACGAGCUACAGCCUUACACGAACCGUCGGCAGAACCGUAAGUGUGGGGCCUGUGCAGCUUGCUUGCGCCGGAUGGACUGUGGUCGUUGUGACUUCUGCUGUGACAAGCCGAAAUUUGGGGGCAGCAAUCAGAAGCGCCAGAAGUGUCGUUGGCGCCAGUGCCUGCAGUUUGCCAUGAAGCGGCUGCUGCCUAGUGUCUGGGCAGGAUCUGAGGAUGGAGCAGGGCCGCCCCCACCGUACUCUCGUCGAAAGAGACCUGGCUCUACUCGACGGCCACGUCUGGGCCAGAUACUGAAGACCUUGACCACACCCACAGUCAGAUCAGGCCGUGCCCAAACUCCAAUGAAACAGGAAACGGGCAGUGGCUUUGUGCUACCCCCACCUGGCACUGACCUUGUGUUCUUACGGGAAGGUGCAAGCAGUCCUGUGCAGGUGCCUGGCCCUGCUACAGCUUCCACAGAAGCCCUGUUGCAGGAGGCCCAGUGCCCAGGCCUGAGUUGGGUUGUGGCCUUACCCCAGGUGAAGCAAGAGAAGGUGGAUGCCCAGGAAGACUGGACACCGGGCACAGCCAUCCUGACUUCUCCUGUAUUGCUGUCUGGCUGCCCCAGCAAGGCCGUAGAUGCAGGCCUGCCACCUGUGAAGCAAGAGCCAUUGGACCCUGAGGAGGACAAGGAGGAAGAGAGCAAGGAAGACUCCGCCUCCGACUUGGCCCCAGAGGAGGAGGCAGGAGGGGCUGGCACACCCGUGAUCACGGAGAUUUUCAGCCUGGGUGGAACCCGCCUCCGGGACACAGCGGUCUGGUUGCCAAGGUGUGCCCCGCACAGUGAGGGAUGGUAUGGGGUUGGUGCUGGUCAGUUGUGGGCCCUGAGUUUUAAAAGUAGAGUCAGUAAUUUGGUGUGGUGCAGUGGGAGGUAAAGGCUCAUAUCACUUUGUAUAUUAUGAUCAGUGAGGGGUUAUGUGCAGGACGUUAGAGAUUUCUCCUGAGGUUCAGGUCAGGGUUUUCCUUGGGUGUGUGUAUGUUGCAGGGCAGGGGGAGGGGGCUGUGGAGGGACAGGGGUCAAUGGAGGUUGAGGACUUAAUGCCCUGCAAUGAGAUUUGAAGGAAAAAUAUAAAAGCCUGGUCCAUAUCUUCUUUAGGAAAUCCAGAAGGGGUCAGGUUUAAUAUAUAAAUUUUUAUUUAGAGAAUCUUUAUUUGGGGUCUUGAAGGCCUCUGGAGUUGACAGGUGGGCUGGACAGUGCUGGGUGGGCAGGUCUGGGCCCUGAGAUAGCUCUGAUCUGGGGCCACGUGCAACUGCUGAAUCUCAGGCUGUCUUUCACCUCCUAGAACAUCCUUUGUGGAUGGAGUCGGGCUGUGUUUCUUGAGCCUCUCCUGAGCCUGUUGAGGUUAUUAAUACAAUUUUAGCUGCUCCAAAGAACUGUCCCUGCAGGCCUGGCAAUAGGAUGAAGGAUGACUGCCCCUGAGGACAGGGCUGGCAGGAAGAGGACAAGGGAAUGCUGCCUCCUGCAGGAUGUUCACAGGCUGUACCAUACAGCUCCAGACAAAGGCAACAUAAACUGUUAGCCUAGGCACCUGGAUUCCUUUGUUCCCACCAACUAGUUUCUGCAGGCCAGAAACUCCUUCAUCUGCCUUGGGCGAUGACAGAGGUACUGAUUGAGUACCUGCUGGGUGCACUGCAGUGUGAGAGCUCCAGUGGGGAAUACAAUGACCCUGGAAGGCUUAUCCUUCAGGAGACACACGGAUUCCUGCCUUCAGGAAACUUACCAUCUAAGUGAGGAAACAGUUUCCCUAUGUAUGAAAUCAGUACGUGUUAAUGGAGAAGGUAAUGAUGUGUUAUCUCAUUUGUAAUGGAGUAUCUUGAAAGCGAGAAGAGAGAGAAGGGAUAAUUAUGGGGAAAUGGGUGGUGUGCACAGAAUACUAGGAAAUGGUUUUGUAAUGCUCCAUUUUGCAAAGAGCGAACUUCAUUCAACAUACAGACCUGCUCCCUCUUCUCUAGGUCCAAGGACCUUAAAAAACCUGGAGCUAGAAAGCAGUAGACUGGAGGCUUCUGCAGACUGUAGGAUUCAAGUCUGCAGGGCAGGCAA